rnacentral:rRNA from 1 species
UACGGGGGGGGGCAAGCGUUGUUCGGAAUUACUGGGCGUAAAGGGCUCGUAGGCGGCCCACUAAGUCCGACGUGAAAUCCCCAGGCUUAACUUGGGAACUGCGUCGGAUACUGGUGGGCUUGAAUCCGGGAGAGGGAUGCGGAAUUCCAGGUGUAGCGGUGAAAUGCGUAGAUAUCUGGAGGAACACCGGUGGCGAAGGCGGCAUCCUGGACCGGUAUUGACGCUGAGUGAGCGAAAGCCAGGGGAGCAAACGGG